ACUAGGGGAGAAGGUGGCUCUGUUACAGCCAGGAAACCACUAGAAGCACCUGGGCUUCUGUCGGAGGCUUCAAGCUCAUCCCUCAGGCGGGGCUGGGCCUCCGGUUCACCUGGAGUCCAGCAUGGGACCCUGUGCUGAGCCUGAGGCUCCUCUGCGUGGAGACAGCCCCACCCUCCCUGAGCUGGCUCCUUAGGGGCCUCACUGGGAAAAGCCAGGUCCCUUCCCACCCAUCCAUGAGAUGCCACCUCUGUGACAUGUUUUCUUGGAUGUAUCAGUAAGUCUUGAGGUGUCUUUGAUUCAGUUCCUCUCUCUGUACUAGGAACAUCCAGACUUAAUACUAUAGCUUCUUUCUAGGUUUUGAUAAUAGCCUCCCCUUUUUGUUCUCGAAAAUUCUCUUGCCCAUUCUUCAGUCUAUCAACUCUUGGUUCACUGUCAGCUAUCCCCUGGGCUGAGCACCUGGGCUGCAGCCAUAAACAGGACCUGAAGCCCCCACUGUGCGGCUCAGACAGGGAAUGAGGAGUGACACGGCGUCGCCCACAUCCAGCUUUCCCCAGACACCUCAAUCCUAAGAAUUACCCGCAGCUUCUUAAGAACUCUCAUUCCUCUGGAAACAGACAAGUGUCCAGCCACAGAUGAGUGGAUAAACACAGUGGUCUAGCCAUACAAUAGGAUAUGAUUCAGCCAUAAAAAGGGGUGAAGCACUGAAAAUGCUACAACACGGAUGAACCCGGAAAACAUGAUGCUCAGUGAGAGAAGCCAGACACAAAAGGGCAGAGAUUGCAUGAUCCCACUGAUUCUUCAUAUUCGUUCUAGGUGUGACACUUCUGGAACAGGCAAGUCCAUAGAGACAGCAAGAAGACCAAAGCUGACAACCAUCUGGGCCGUUUCCACCUUUGGGCCAUCGUGAGAAUCACGCUGCUAUGAACGUUCGGGAACAAGCUUUUGUGUUCCCCAGGGUACCUGGACACCUACCGGAGUCAUGGACCAGCAAUGCAGGUGCUGUUGAUGUUGGGGGCAUUGGGGGCAGAAAUGGC